rnacentral:rRNA from 1 species
UACAUACUGUGCGAACGUUAUUCGGAUUCACUGGGCUUAAAGGGUGCGUAGGCGGCUUGUUAAGCAGGGUGUGAAAGCCCCCAGCUCAACUGGGGAACUGCACUCUAUACUGGCGAGCUGGAGUGAGAUAGGGGUGUGUGGAACUGCCAGUGGAGCGGUGAAAUGUGUUGAUAUUGGCAGGAACGCCGGUGGCGAAAGCGACACACUGGGUCUCAACUGACGCUGAGGCACGAAAGCCAGGGGAGCGAACGGG